rnacentral:rRNA from 1 species
CCUACGGGAGGCAGCAGUGAGGAAUAUUGGUCAAUGGACGAGAGUCUGAACCAGCCAAGUAGCGUGAAGGAUGACUGCCCUAUGGGCUGUAAACUUCUUUUAUAUGGGAAUAAAAUGUUUCACGUGUGGGAUUUUGUAUGUACCAUAUGAAUAAGGAUCGGCUAACUCCAUGCCAGCAGCCGCGGUAAUCCGGAUGAACCGAGCGUUAUCCGGAUUUAUUGGGUUUAAAGGGAGCGUAGGUGGAUUUGUAAGUCAGUUGUGAAAGUUUGCGGCCCAACCGUAAAAUUGCAGUUGAAACUGGCAGUCUUGAGGACAGUAGAGGUGGGCGGAAUUCGUGGUGUAGCGGUGAAAUGCUUAGAUAUCACGAAGAACUCCGAUUGCGAAGGCAGUUCACUGGACUGCAACUGACACUGAGGCUCGAAGGUGUGGGUAUCAAACAGGAUUAGAUACCCCUGUAGUC